UGGAGAGAAUAAACUCAGCUUCAAUCUUUGCUGAAGUCCGGUUAACUUUGUCUCACUUUGUUUUCUUUCUUAAUCCUCACGGCCUCUCUCGUAGUAUACACUUAUCUGACUGCGUGGGCUCGAGAAAGAGGGAAAGAAGGACACCGCUGGAGAAGAGAGUGCUCAAGAAACAGAGAAUAGCAUUAGCUAUUUGCCUGUGUGUGGAUAUGUGCUGGAGGUAUCACAUAGCCAGAAGCUGCAGUAAAAGGUGUUGUGAGCCGACCAACAUGAGGAAUCAAAGUCUGGUCACGUGGAAAAGAAGAGUGAGGUGGGGCUGUGAAAUUUCCUGGUAUGCAUGAGUACAGCAGGUCUGAAAGGAAAGAGCAGAAUCUGUCCACAAAAAGAGCCACUGAGCUCCUAAUGCACAGUGGUGAAGAGAAAUAAAGGUCUUCUGGCUCAUCGUGGUACUCCUCCCUACCGCCCCUCAUUUUCCGAGAUGUAGCACACAGGAAGCCUCGACUCUUACUUGGCAUCUCUGCAGUAAACCUGUCUAUGGGACCCAACAUUCCAUUAAAUUUGCAUGCAAUGAGU